rnacentral:rRNA from 1 species
UCCGAAGGGGGCUAGCGUUGCUCGGAAUUACUGGGCGGAAAGGGCGCGUAGGCGGCACUGUUAGUCAGGCGUGAAAGUCCUGGGCUCAACCUGGGAACUGCGCUUGAUACGGCAGAGCUAGAGGAUGGAAGAGGCUCGCGGAAUUCCCAGUGUAGAGGUGAAAUUCGUAGAUAUUGGGAAGAACACCGGUGGCGAAGGCGGCGAGCUGGUCCAUUACUGACGCUGAGGCGCGACAGCGUGGGGAGCAAACAGG